CUCAGACCCACUUCAGCCCCAGAGCGCUCCAUAUGUGUUCCUGGGAAGAGCAAACCUCAGUCUCCCUUAAUUCAGCUUGAGGAACUGGGGCCUGCUGUGUUUCCUGGAUGAGGGAAUGUUGGGGGUCUUGGGCAGGCUAAAAUUUAAAAAUCCAGUUUAGCUAUUGUCCCCUGUGCCCAGCAGCUUUUGUAGAAGGUCAAGUCUUCCCUCUUUUGGAGCAAACUGAAGCCCUCCAAAGAGAGGAGUCCUUCCCAGCUGCCUGCCCAUCAGCCCCUGAACUGAAGGAGUCCAGCCAGGAGCCAGUGGGCAGCCUGGGGCAGACAGUCACGCUAGGCAUCAGUGAGCAGCCUCUGGCUAUGAUUCAGGCCCUGGACAAAGCCUCUUCCUCUCGCUUCUGCUCCCUUCCUGGCCCAUGUCUGUAUCUGGCUCCUCAGAGCUUUCUCCGUCAGUGUCUGCCUCCAGCUUCUACUUCUCCCCUGCCCCAGUGUCCCUCCCUGCAGCUCUCCCCCUCCCCCAGCUCCCAGCUCCUCCUGUAGCAUCACCUUAGUCCCUGUGCUCAACUGCAUGGAGAAACUUCCCACCCAGAACCUUCCCUGAUUGGAACUUACUGGGAUAUAAUGUGUUUAAUUUUUAAAUUGAUUUCCCACCCUGCCAAUCAAGAAUGCAUGUCCCUUGUAGAAAAUUGGGAAAGUAUAGAAAAGUGUAAGAAAUGCAGGAAAAAGAUCAUCCAUGGGAUAAACAGAUAGUUAUUAAGUCUUUUCAUAGAGGCUAACGUUUAGUUUCUGAUUGAUUUUGAGCUCUGCUUCUUACUAUAGCUGUCUGACUGAGGCCAGUUACCUACCGUCUCUAAGCCAGUCUGCAUCAUAGUUACAUUUGCAUCUCUCUUGUAGCACUGUCUGAAAAUAAAAUGAGCUAACAAAUGAUAGGGCUUAACAAAUGAUAGGCGCUGGUAUCAGCUAAGUGAUAGCUAUUAUUAAGAUUCGAUGCUCAGUGCAUGAGAGCUUUAACUGUUGUCCUCCACUGCCAGCCCAGCACCCCCGGGAAGGCCUCUCCAGGCAGGACAACAGAGCAACACUGCUGCAGAGCUGCGGGCACUGGGAAUAAUGCCUCUGGAUUUGAACAAGCUCCCAGUGGAAAGUGGACAAGCAGAAUUGGGUCCUGCAGUGCUGGUGGCCUCCUUCAGGACAUAUUGCUCCUGGGGAUCCUUUUCUGUCCACUCAUCCUCACUAACCACUGUGCUUCACUACCAGUCUCUCAGCUAGUUCUUUCUGGUUCGCUGGCCAGCCCUCCCUGGCCUUAAAACCUUGCCUCAUUGCUUUCCUGACUCCCUUCUUCGCUCCCCAAAGAAGCUGAUGACAAAAGUGAGAGGCUGCACACGUUUUAUUUUACUAAGUAGUUUCUUUCAUCGUAAAAGUACAUUUUGCAGGGUAUAUGUAUACAUAUGUUUAACACAAAUAGACUUAUAGUAUAUAUACUCUUCUGCAAGUUGCCUCUUUUACUUACUCUUUGUUUUCCUGGAGUUUAAAAUUGCCUUUUUUGUUCCCCUCUAUGUUUUUACUUUUGAGUUUUUUCAAGUUCUCGAUAAUGCUAAUAAUUCUGCAGGGUUCCUCUUUCCCAUCUGGAACCCUCAGUCACCUUUCUCCAAAUUGGAUUCUGCCUCUGUCAUCCUGGGAGUUCUCUUAUUCUUUUUUUGAUUUGGGGGGAUUAUAUCCUCAAGUAACUUGAGGAUGUAAGUAACUUCAGAUAUAAGUAACUCAAGUAACUUAGUUAUGUCCUAACUAAGAAAGGAUAUGUAGGAAGUAAGUGUCCUUGGUCUGAAAUGUCUGGAAGUGUCUUUAUUCUUCCUCAUGCUUCAUUGAUAUAAUUUGGCUGGGGAUAGCAUUCCAGGUUGAAGUACUUUUCCUUCAGAAAUGUUAAGGCACCGAGCCAUUUUGUUUUAGCAUCCGGUGUUGCCAGAGAAGGCUUCGUCUUUCUUUGGGAGCUGUUGAGAGGCAGUGUGUGCGAUAGUUGAGGGUGCAGGCGCUACGCUCUGCUUCCGCAGCCCGGGUUCACCGGUUUGGAUCCGAGUGUGGACCUACGCACCCCUUAUCAAGCCAUCCUGUGGUAGGCGUCCCACAUAGAAAGUAGAGGAAGACUGGCACGGAUGUUAGCUCAGGGCCAGUCUCCCUCAGAAAAAAAAAAGAGGAGGAUUGGUGGCAGAUGUUAGCUCAGGUCUGAUCUUCAAAAAAAAAAAAGAGUGCAGGCACUGCAACUAGACUGCCUGAGUUUCAACCCUGGCUCUUACCGUUUGCUGGCUGUGUGACCUCAGUUUCCUUCCUGUGAAAUAGGAAUGAUGAUAAUACCUAUUCAUAGGGCUGCUCUUCUAAGGAGUCAAUGAUUUAAUAGACAAAUAGUGCUUAGAAGAAUUCCUGGUACCCAGUAUAGUUCCUGAGGCUAAUGUUAAUAUUUUUCUUUCUUGGAGCCUUUAAUUUUUCUUUAUCUUCAGUGUUCUGACAUUUCACUAAGUGUGACCCAUACUAGGAUGCAUCUGAUAUGUCGUAGUGAAAUAGCUGAUGCAUCCAAGGUUGAAUCUUUUUACAUUUAGCAGACUCAACACACAAUAUUGCAUUCAGUUUGAAGACAUCCCUUCACCUCAGUGAAAUUAUUUGUUAUAGUUCUUUGAUAAUUUCCUCUGCUCCAUUUUCUCUGUUUUCUCUCUUUUGAACUACUAAUAGUCAGGGGUUGGUUCCUAGAUUGAUUGUUUAAGUGUCCAAUCUUUUCUCUCAAUUUCCUAGUUUGCCUUUUUAAAAAUGUGUUCUGAAAGAUUCCCUCAUCUUUAUUUUCCAGUCCUUCAAUUAAGAUUUUUUUUAAUUAAAAUGUUUCCAUCUCCAAAGGCUCUGUUCUUUGAUUUUUCUUAUUUUAUAACAUCAUGUUCCUCUUUUAUAGAUGCUCCACCUUUGUGAGUUUCUCUGCGGAUACUAAUCAGAGGUUUAGUGGUUGGUUGUUAUUGUUCUGUCUCCUGAAUUACGUCUGUUUUCUGUUUGUUCUUCUUGGUUUUUCUCUUUUGUGCCGAAAGCUUUCUUGAUAAUUCUGGCCCAUUUGUUCACAUUUUUAAGUGAGAUAAUUGGAUGUUUGAUUAGGAGCUCUGUGUGUGUGGGCAGGAGUCAACUAACAGACUUUGCUUUAUGGUGAGCAGGUGGCAACCUGGCCAUGGUUCUGGAGAUCCUGAAAUGCCAGCAUGUGGAGGACCUAAAUUUGGGACAUCACACAUUCUCACUCCCCUAAUUUUUCUCAGAGUUUAUUCAGUUUUUUAAAGAGAAAAAUCCCAUGUAAUGUAUGUUAUGUUUUAAAUAGAUAGAUACAUAGAUCACCUCACAAAUACCCAGGAAGGUAAAUAUUAUCAUCUCCAUAUUCCAGAGGAGUAAGUCGAACCUUAGAGAGGUUAAGUAAAGCAUCCAGGAUAACAGCUAAUGAGAAGUGAAAGAACUUAUAGUCAGGUUUUCCUAACUCCCAAACCAUGUACUCCUAACCACUGUGAUAAACCUUCCUGCAUAAUCCUCUAAACAGGGUUCAGAGGUGGAUGGUUUUGGUGGAACUUGGCUUAGCCCGUCCCUCCCCCCAUCCCUCCCAGAAGGAUCUUUGUUACUGCUCCUAUAUGGAAUUGUAGAGUCUUAGUGCUAAGAGGGUCACUUUGCUUUUAGCCUCUCCAUGCAGCCAUAUUCUUCAUCCUCAAAAGAAACAACCAGGUUCCCUGGAUAUUUGUUGAGCUUGACUUUCUUGACACAAAGAAAAGCUCUUGGCUUGGCAUUAGACCUUUCAGGCCCUUUCCCACUGAAGGUCAUUGCAAAGGGCAUUGCGCUCGGGUAUGUUUCUGAAGCCAAGGGCCACUCUGUUGGCGUUGUGGCAGCGUUUGUGUUGUGUUGAGAUCAAUAACAUGGCUGUUUGAUGCCUGGGCGCUGCCUCUGCUGUUGACAGAGUGGAGGCUCUGCGGAGUUGUCAGAGCCUUUCUCCUCUUGAUGUUCUGAUAUUGUCCAAGGUCACUGUGAGUUAGAACUGAGUUCUCAGCCAUUCUCCAAUUCUGAGGUCGCUUGAAACCUCUCUGCCUUAGAGCCUACACUUGUGAAAAGACAAUAUAAGAAUCAUUUCAGCUACCUUUCAGGGAUGGCUAGUGUCAGGUUGUGCAAGAAAAGUCGGGAUUGUUAAUUAUGAGGCAAAGUGAUCCAGUAACUCCCUGAAUGACUUUUAUUGAUUUUUAUUGUUUAAUGUAACUUGGCAUUUGCUAGAAAGUCUGCAUGCAGAAAGAAAUGAGAACAUUCCCAACCAGAAAGUGGACUUCUUCACCCUAACACAUCAUUCUUCACAGUUGUGACAUACAUGCAUGUUAUCAAAGAUAGAACACCCCCUCCCACAACAUACACCUCUUCAGAAAUUGUUUUCUCAUCUGCAGAAAAGGGAGGGCUUUGUACUCAUAGGAAAAUAAAUUUCUGGUAUACAUUUUAAAAGUGGCUCAAGUACAUAUUUUUAAAAUAGGAAGGAUAACAUUAAAUAUGGUAAAAUGUACAUUUCAAAGGAGGUUUAAAUAUGCAUUCUUGAAAACAAGGUGAGUGGUAGCCGGCCUCUGAGAAGGUCUCCUGUGGUCCCUGCCUCCUGGUAUUCACGCCCUUGGGUAGUCAGUCCCCUAACACAUUGGAUAGGGCUGACCUGUGUAACCAUUAGGAUGUUGAAGGAAGGAUGGUGUGUGGCUUCCAAAGCUAGAUAAAAUAUGUUGUGGCUUCUACCUUGCUUUCUGUUGGAUCUCUCACUUGGGGUAAAACCAGCUGCCAUGUCAUGGGGACAUUCAGACAGCCCUGUGAUGGGGUCCCGGGGCAGAGAAUUGAGACCUCCUACCAACAGCCAUGUGAGUGAGCAUCUCUGAAGCAGCUCCUCCAGCCCGGUCAGACCUUCAGAUGGUGGAAGACCCAGCUGGCAUUUUGACAGCAACCUCAUGACAGAGGCCCCAAGCUAAAGCCACCUAGCUGAGCGCUGCCUGAAUUCCUGACCUACAGAAACUGCAAGAUAAUAAAUGUUUAUUGUUAUUUUAAAACAUGAAAUUUGUGGGUUAUUUGUAAAACAGCAAUACAGUGAGUCACAGUAAACAAGGUGAAAGAUUCAAGUAUGUAUUUGAAAAUAAAAAGGAAUCCUAGUAUUUAUUCAGAACUUUUGGAACAUAUGACAAAGCUCUUUGGAUUAUGUAGGGCUGAUUGCACUCAUUGUUCUCCUCUGUGGAUGUAAAACCCCUGUGCAUACCUGUCUGUUCAUUAGGCUGUAAUUACACCUUUCCAGGGAUUGUCAUUUCACCGUCACUGUAAGAACCUUUGGAGGUGGACAAGUUGAGAGGGAGGGGAAAAGACCUUCCUACUAAGCAGCAGUGAACCACAACUGAAAAGGUCAGAAUUGCCUAGUCAGGCUGUGAGCACUAGCCCAGCCGUCUUCCAGUUCAUACCGGUGGUCCUGCGGUCAUCAGUCCUGCGGUCAUCAGUCCUGCGUCUCCAUGCCACUUUCCAGCACAGAGCCCUCCAAGAGUUGAAACCAUCAUGGGCUGAGCAUCACAGUCUUUUGAACGGCAACUUACCUUGGAGUUUUGUAGGAAACAAACUUGGGCUCCCUCUGGUGGCCUUCUAGCGAAUGUCUGGUGGCCACCCAAACAUCACUAGGCCCUUUCUUUUAAGUACCUUAGCCAUAUAUGAGUUAAUUUAAUGAAGUCCCUUUUCUAUACAUAUAUUGUAGAGGUAGCAGCUGGGAGUGUGAUUUCCAAAAGGGAAAAGUUUACCUACAUACCUUUUAAAAACCAGUUGCAGGUAUUUUUCAUUCCUUCCCACUUUUAUCCAUACCUUACUGGUGCAACUAAUGGGUAAUGAUUAUUGGGUUUACACAUUUUAAUAAAAUCACAGUCUCAUCACCCAGGCUAUUCUCCUGGAAAGUCUUGGAGAAGUGGUUGCAAAGUUUGUUAAAUUUUGCUUGAGAGCUAAAAUACUAACGAUUGACUCCGCUCCUCGUAUAUUUUCAUAUUUGCUGGUUUCAGAAGCCCCUAGGGGAGGUUCCAGGUGUGAAUUACCAGUUUGCUUGCCCUCCCACGCUGUACCCCCACCACACACCUUCCCUGCCUUUGCCUUUGGGGUAGGAAAGGACAGGAAUAGAGAGGGCAAAAUGGGUACAAAAUACAAAACAGUGAUAGCAGAUGUUUUUAUGAAGGGCUUUAUAUAAAUAAAGACAAUUCGGUGAUGAUACACAUGAGCUUUGCACAGUGAGUACUUAAUAUCUUCAGACAGGACAAAUUCAUAGUAAACUCAUGCUAACCACUUUGGCCAUCUUAGAAUGCCCACAUCAUAAAUUAAUGGCAGAAUUAGACUGAGCUUAAUAUACCAGCAGCUCCAUUUCCUUUCAUUCCCAAGGAAGUGUUUGGUAUCUGUCUGCAGAGACAUAUUUGGAAACAAGACUACCUCUCUGCACUUAGCCAUCAAGCAUUUCAAUAGUGAGAUGCAGCAACAGCCAUUUACUUUGUACCACCUGUCUCUCAUUGUAAGUUUUCACCUUAAUGGUUUUUAUUAGCACUUUAUGUUGCUAAGCAACGAGCCAAGUCUGCACUCUUCUCCGCCAGGCUAUAAAAAUGUCUGCUUAGUUCCCCUGGUUCUGAAAGAAACGACUAUACCAAAAAGAUGCUCUUUAUGGUUGUUUUCUCCUGACCUUUUUUCUUUUUCUUCCCCUGUGCCCCUCCCAAUAUGGACAUAGUGAAGUUUCAAUACAUCUUGGAACCACAGCCGCGCAGCAGGCGCCCCCUCCAGGCGCCAUCUCCCGUCAGUGGACGCCCGGGGAGAGGCAGGAGGCAGGACGAUUAAACCGUUAGGCCUGCGAACCAGAUCGUCUAUUACGAAUUCACUUUUAUUCUCGCAAUCUGAAGCGAGCAGACGUUUGGCUUGUACGGUAGCUGCAACUGUGGUGACCCACACUUUGUAAUUGGGAAAUGCCACUUGUCGUAGUCCCCGGAAAAUAGGAUUGAGGAGGAGAAGGAGAUGGAUAAUGCUGAUGAGGUGCUUUUUUUUUUUUCCUUUAACUUGGACAAGUUUGGAUACAUUCUGCUAGGAAAAGGCAGUAUAGGAGAGUCUAGAAAGAUGGAGGCGUCUCCCGCGCAGCAGUUUGCCUCCUGCUUAAAAGCAGCGGCGCGGAGCAAGCUGCGAUUCCCAGGGACCCCAGCAGUGGGCUGCGCCCCCGAGUCCUCGCUGUCCCAGCGGCCGGCCUCGGCCUUGAAUUGCCCUUUCAGGGCGAGGGACUGAGUCAUCUCAUCUCAUCUCCCAAGAAAUGCUCUUUGGGUCUCUGCUACAGCCUGGGAUGGAGACAAAGGCCAUGGGGCGCAGAGCGUGGCUCUCUGGCUAAGGCACUUCCGAGGGGCGCCCAGCCGUCUUGGGCAGACAGAAUUCUGUCGUCCUCUGCUCUGCUAGCGCUGUGGGUGUGGUUCUGAACAGUGAUCUUUGCAUUUUCUCUACGGUGAUCUGCACAGAGUGGGGGAGUGCAAACCACAAGUCACUCCAAAAAGUCUAUGUGUGUGUGUGUGUUCAUUGAAUGUUUCCCAGAAGAUUUGACACUACACCAAAAAGCAGACAGGUAAACAUCACCACUUCAUCAUCACUUUAAGUAUCACCAUAGCAAUGUUAUUUUUCCAGAUAAAUGUCUUGAAAUGUGUCUCUCCUAGGGGCAGGCGGCAGUGGGCAAAGCAAAUGCUCCUUGGGGUCUUUUACUUUGUUUAGAAAGUUGGGGAUGGGGGAGCUUAAGAACAUCUGCUCUUCAGAAAUGUGGAUUUUAGGCCUUUUCCUGGCAUUUCCUCUUUUCAGACAAAGAAAACUUUGCUUAAUGUCAACACUUGUUAGAUUUUAAGCCCGUAUUCUUUUCUGUUCUGAGUUUUUGUUUUGUGCUUUAUUCAGGAAAUAUUUAUUAAGCAGCCACUAGAGAAUUUGUAGACACUAAAACUAAAACAAAGCCCAUAUUCCUGCUUUCAUGGAACUUACAUUCUAAUGGGUGCAGGGAGGGGAAUAAACAGUAGCGAGUGUAACGUAUCAGGAAGUGACAGUAUAUCCAGGAGGAUAAAGGAGAGAGUGAUGAGGGUCUGUGUUACAUGGCUGUUUGGGAGAGGUCUUGCCGAUAAGAAAGCAGAGACCUUAAGAAAUGAGAGUGUGAGCCACAUGGAAAUCCAGGGAAGAGCAAGCAGAAAGCCAGGAGCGUGGGGGAUGUUUAAGGGACGACUGGAGCUGAGUGAGUGAGAGGAAGGUGCUGGAGAUGAAAUCACAGGGAGGGGCUGGAUCACACGGGGCCUCCCAGGACAGAAUCAGGCCUUGGGGUUCUCCUCUCACUAAGGUGCAAGUAGAGGAGAGUGGAGAAAAGACAGGGCACAGGUCAAAGCCAUUAGCCCAUGGAGAGUCCAGGUGAAGGAUGACGAUGAAGGUGGCUUGGCCCCGGGUGUUGGCUGUGAACAUGAUGAGAAGUGGUCAUCAUCUAGAUAUAUUUUGAAGAUAGAUCAGGUUUUAUAGGCCCUAAAGCUGAUAUAACUGGGGAGGCCUUAUUUAAGGAAAUAAGCAAAAUUAUCAAUCCAAAAUGAGGUAUGAAAGUGAACAUUUAAAGGUGUUCUUAACCUGGGGUCCAUGAACACUCCCUCCCACCUCCUAUGGGUAAAAUUCAGGAGCUGUGCCCUUGGGUAGAAAAAAAGUACAGCUUUAUUUUCAUUAAUCUUUAGCUGAAAUGUAGCAUUUUCUUCGAUUAUGAAUGUAAGCAGCACACCACAGUUGUAAGAGCAGUACCUGUGACUUUGUCACUGAUAGAGUCACACAUGACUGCACGGUUGUGCAGAUAACUCAGAAUAUCCUUCAUGCUCGUCAUUACCGUUUCUGUGGUUACCAGGCCUGCACUAGAUCUUAUUUAAUGCACUAAGAAGUAAAUAUAUUGCUCUAUGAUAAAUUUGUUUCUUUAAUAUCAUGAUAACUGUAUUUCAGUGGUGUCUUUUGUAAUCACAUGUACUUUAUUUUAUACAUGUAGAAACAUUAUUCUGAGAAGAGGUUCAUUGGCUUCACCAGACUGCCACAGAGGUCCACAGCAAAGAGAAAAAAAAGUUGAAAACCCAUGAUUUCAAAUGAAAAAUAAAUUUAAAAACUUGUAAUUUUAAAAAGCUGACAGAUAUUUAGAAAAAUAAUAUUUUUAUUAAUUGCUUGUCACAUUUGAAUAUUUUUCCCUGUAUAUGUAUAUGUGUAUUUUUAGGAUGAUUGGCCCUGAGCUAACGUCUGUUGCCAAUUUUCCUUCUUUUUUUUUUUUGCCUCUCCAAAGCAAAGCCCCAGUACAUAAUUGUAUAUCCCAGUUGUAGGUCAUUCUAGUUCUUCUAUGUGGGACACAGCCUCAGCAUGGCCUGAUGAGCAGUGCUAGAUCUGCGCCCAGGAUCCGAACCUGCAAACCCUGGGCCGCUGAAGCGGAGCACAUUAACUUAACUGUUCGGCCACCUUUUCAUUCUGCAGAUAUUUACAAAAACAUAUGAGCCAUCCAGUUUCUCUUGAAAAAUCAAAAGAUCUGGCAAUGCUGCAUUCUCAUCUCACUAGUUAUACAAAAUGACUUAGUAACAGAAUUUUAUAGAGAGUUCCUCAUCUGAGGAAUGGAUGACUUUUCCAUAGGCCAGCUUCUGACUUGAUGCAUUUUAUACCUUGUUUCUCUUCCACCAUCUACAUACUUCCAAUGUUGGGCACUGGAAGUUUGUAUCAUGAUAUGACCUCUGACCUUUUAUUUAAGUCACAUGUCACAAUUCUAGGUGAAUUGCCACAGUGGGUGGUAGAAGAAUUUCUGGAAGUCAUUCCUAUGCCAGAUGGCUGGCAGUAACUGAAUUAUACAUGCAAAUAACUACAAACCAUGUAAAUCGAUCCCGCUAAACACAAACUAAACGUACCCCCAACUCAACCUCCCUUUGGUAGGAUUCCAAAAAUGUCUGUAGCCACUUCAUUGCCACCCAGUCCUAGAGGGAGAGUGAUCAAGAGGAAAUCAUAGUAGAAAGAGAGAGCAGUCUUAGAGUAGAUAUAAUAUCCAGUUUUUCUAAAUUUUACAAAAACAUUUGGACCUUGAAAGGGAGCUGUGCGAGAGAAGAUUCCUGGCUUUUCCUGAAAAAUCAGAUGACCUAACGACGGCGGACCCUCGUCCCCUCAGGACCACAGUUCACUGGAGGUAUUUACCCAAGAGAAAUGAAACAUAUGUGCACUCAAGACGAAUGCACACAUGUUCAUAGCAGCUUUAUUCACCAUAACCAAAAGCUGGAAACAUCAGAAGGAUUCAAUGGGAAUACCACACAGCAAUAUAAAGAAGAAAAUUACCAAUACAUCCAACAACAUGGACGAAUCUCAGAAUCAUUAGAAUGAAUGAAGGGAAAAGGCAAGACUAAUCUAUAGUGACAGAAGCAGAGGGUGCCUAGAACUGGGGCCAAAUGGACUACAAAGGGGCACAAGGGAUCUCUUGGGGCGAUGGAAAUGCUUUGUGUCGUGAUCGUGGUGGUGAUUUCGUGGGCAUACACGUCCAUCAAAACUCAUGGAAUUGUGAACUUUAAAUAGGUGCAAUUGAUUGUUUAUAAAUUACACCUCAGUAAAAUGUGUUUUUUAAAAAAUAUGCUUGGGACACACUGUGGAAGUUUUUGAAAGACAGGCCAAAGAGUUUGGCAAGCUUUUAAAAAAGGGAGUGAAAUGUUUGGAUUGCAAUGUUUAGAAUUCAAAACUAGGUAAAGUUCAGGCCAGUAUUGACUGCAGCACAGUUACCCAACAUGUCACAGGUCCUCAGUCUGGGGCAGAAACUGAGUGUUACUGAAAGAUAAACUGAGGCGUAUUAAGGAAUUUUAGAGGUUAUUUGAGAAAAAAUGAUUUGAUUUGAGCACUGCCAAACCGUAAGUGGUUAGGAGUGUUCCACCAAUAGGGGGGAGGGGAUGAGGGGGCGACGGGACACACACGCGUGUGCGCGCGCACACACACACACACACGACAUGGGACUUUUAUGGAGCAAAGGAGCAAAGGUGGAAGCAAAGCAAGGAGAUGAUUUGAUUGGCUGCAGUUAAGCGAUUGCCUCUUUGGGAAAGCCUAGCUGGCUGUUUGUGAUUGGUUGUCCUUGGGUUUUGAUUCCUUGACCUUGAGGCAUUUACAGGCUUAGGUUUGGGUUUGCUAAGUAGGCUACUAAGGUAUUAGAGCCAACUCAGUCUGCUGGCCUCCUUGUUUAAUUAAUUUAACAGCGUUUAGAAACUUUUCAAGGCAAUUUGACAGGAUUAUUUUGUU
rnacentral:lncRNA from 1 species